rnacentral:rRNA from 1 species
AUCUAUGGCCAUGCCACCUUGAACGUGCCCAAUCUCGUUUGAUCUCUGAAGCUAAGCAGAGUCGGGCCUGGUAAUACUCGGAUGGGAGUUUACCUAGGAAGACCAGGUGCUGUAGGCA